rnacentral:rRNA from 1 species
GAGGAAGGUUUUUGGAUCGUAAACCCCUUUUGUCAAGGAAGAAGCUCUGACGGUACUUGACGAAUAAGCCUCGGCUAACUCCGUGCCAGCAGCCGCGGUAAUACGGAGGAGGCAAGCGUUAUCCGGAAUGAUUGGGCGUAAAGCGUCUGUAGGUGGCCAGCUAAGUCUGCUGUUAAAGAUCACAGCUCAACUGUGGGAAGGCAGUGGAAACUGGCAAGCUAGAGGUUGGUAGGGGUAAAGGGAAUUCCCGGUGUAGCGGUGAAAUGCGUAGAUAUCGGGAAGAACACCGGUGGCGAAAGCGCUUUACUGGGCCAGACCUGACACUGAAGGACGAAAGCUAGGGGAGCGAAAGGGAUUAGAUACCCCUGUAGUC